rnacentral:rRNA from 1 species
GAUGAACGCUGACAGAAUGCUUAACACAUGCAAGUCGAUGGGGAAGUGGUGCUUGCACCAUGGCAACCAUGGCGGACGGGUGAGUAACGCGUAAGGGACUUACCUGCAGGACUGGGAUAACAGGGGGAAACUCCUGACAAGACCGGAUAAUGUCAUGGAGCUGCAUGGCUUUAUGAUGAAAGGAGACGCCUGCGGAGAGCCUUGCGUCCUAUUAGCUAGUUGGUGAGGUAAUGGCUCACCAAGGCGAAGAUAGGUAGCCGGCCUGAGAGGGUGGACGGCCACAAGGGGACUGAGAUGCGGCCCUUACUCCUACGGGGGGCAGCAGUGGGGAAUAUUGGACAAAGGGGGCAACCCUGAUCCAGCAAUUCGGUGUGCACGAAGAAGGUUUUCGGAUUGAAAAGUGCUUUCAGCAGGGAAGAAGUAAGUGACGGUACCUGCAGAAGAAGCGACGGCUAAAUACGUG